rnacentral:lncRNA from 1 species
UUUUUUUUUUUUGGUAAGAAACUGUCUAUGGAUUAUUACUACCUGAAGAAGUUUACUGACUAAAUGGGUAACGUUUCAAGUUUCAACUCUAGAACGGCUUCUCUCUAGAUGUUUACCCACAAAAAUAUAAUUCCUGACGUUUCAAAUUUGGACUUAGAUUCGUGCAUACAACGUGAGUCAUCCGGCUGACUUUGCGGAUCAGCUUCGAUGUUUAUCCAAAAAAAUAUAAAAAUAAAUCUUAUAUAUACGGACAGUGUAUACACUAUAUUCAUGAUAUAUAUAUAAAUUAAAUUUUAAAUUUACAUAAUUAUUAUUCAUCUAAGACUUUAUACUGUCAAAAUUGGAAAAGAUUAAUUUAAAAUAUAAUUCGCAUUACUUUUUCAAAAUUGGAAUUGAUUUCGUGCAUACAACAUGAGUCAUACGGCAAACUGUGGAUAUUAUAUUGAUACUUAUGAUAUAUCGUUAUCAUGAUCAAAAAGUACAAUGAGUCUUGGUUAGGGUGCAAACAAGUAAAGUUUAAUUGAGUAACUCACGAGUUUAUUCGAUCAAGACUCAAUCUCGAACUCAUAAACUCGAGUUGAACCUGGUUGAACUAGUUGACGAGUCAAUAUCAAACUUCAUAUGUAAAGUUGGAAAGCAUGCGUAUGCACGCGCACAUACACGCGUAUAUAUAGCUCACAAGUUUUUACUUGGUCAAAACUCAAUCUGGAACUUGCAAACUCGAAUUCAAGUAGGUCGAACUAGUUGACUAGUCAAGGUCGAGUUUAUAUAUGUAAAGUUCGAAAGAGCGAGCGCGCACACAUACACACACACAUACAUAUAUAUAUUAAUUACUAAUUUUAUAUUUAUUAGUAUGAAAUGUCCAUGUUGUCCCUUAUUUAAAAUUAUAUAAAAUAUAAACUCGAUCAAUUAAAUUCGAAAUAAGUUCAAUUAGCCUCAAUGAGCAAGAGUUCGAACUCAAACUAAAGUAUUGCAAAAUAAAAUUGAGUUCGAACUUGAGUUCGACUUACAAGAGUUCGAUAAGUUCGAACUCGAGAUCGAAUCCAAGUUUUUUAACUCGAGUUAAGGUCCAAUACUGCACUACUCGAGCACAACUUGACUUGAUUACACUCCUAGUCUUGGCAAUAGGAAGUAUAAGAGUGUAAGCAUAUUUUAAUCUUAGUUUUUGUUAUGCCAAAAUUACCCUCAUCUCUUUUAACUAGAGUUAUUGCAUGCCUUUUAAUUAGAGUUAUUGCAUUUUAAUCAUGACACUAAUAAGAAAAAUGAAAAGUUAUAAUGAAUUACAUCUAAAAAAUUUUGGUAUUUAAUAUUAAAAACUGUCCAUUUAUAACUAAUAUUCACCAAUCAUUUCCCUCAUCUCCAAUUCAUUAUUUUAUGUGUUAAAAUUAUCUCCAAUUAUUAUAUUGUUAUGCAUGAUAAUUAAACUUAACUAUAUUAUAUAUAUAUAUAUAUAUUGGUUUAGAAGAAAAUCAUGAUUAAUAAGAAGACAAAAGGUUAUAAACAGUUAAUGAGAAAACAAAAGGUUAUAUUACUUAUUAAAUUCAUUAUAUAAUGUCAUAUCAAUUAAUAAAACUCCAAAAAAAUUAUCAAUAAUUAAAAAAAUAUAACAAAAAAAGUUUACAACUAUUGAAAUUGAUAAAAAUUUGUUUGUUUUUGCUUAUUAUAGGUUUCUUAGUCAAUAUUAUACCAAUAGCUUAGUUUAAUUAUCAUGAUCUUCCAUCUUUAGAGUUUUUUAUAACUGUAAAAUACACAAUAAACAAGAAACUGUUUGGUAUUACAGAAAAAACUGAUCGUUUUUAGCCAGAGAGCAUUUUAAGGUAAGCAUCCCAUAAGCAUUGUCGUAGACCAAGGAGCAAGGAUUGCACGCCGUAUAAACUGAAAAAUGGUUUCCAAUUACAGGGUUCGAAAAUGGCUGACUGCCUUGUAAUGUCCCAUCAAAUUGUACAUUUCAUAGAUUUUCUGUUCGCGGACGAUUAGAACGACAAAUCAAAAGAAGGAAUUACAGGGUCGGAGCUCUUUCAGCAGUUCCGGCUAUGACAGUGAGCAAAUUAUUACCGAAGGGAUCGCUUAAAUGAGCUGCAAGGUUUUCAACGGGACCCUGUCCAGUGACAUAAGCUUGGAUGAAGAAACCAAGCAUUGCAAACAUGGCCAGUCUACCGUUCUUGAUCUCUUUCACCUUUAGGAGGGCAAACUGGUCAGGGUCCUUGGCAAGUCCCAAUGGAUCGAAAGGACCCCCUGGGUGAAGCUUGUCCUCUAGAUCCUGUAUGUAACACACUCGCACAAGUCAAUCUCCAAGUUCUCAUAGUGAUGGUGUAUGGAUAAGAAACAGUUGUAGUAUUAACAACUCAAAAUCUGAGCGUUAUCAAACUCAGCGAGCAUACCAGUGCAUUGGUUAUUCUGUAGUACUCAGCACCACCGACAAGAACAACCUCAAAAAUGACAGCAAAUGCAAGAUUAAUGGGAAUGUUCUUUCCAAAGUAAUUCAAUGUGUUGCCGUCGAGGAGUAGAGCCCCAGUCUGCACAAGUUGCGUGUUAACUAUUAACGCGAUAAGGAAAAAGAUAAAACGAGGUGCAAUGCUGUCAUACGAUCUGGAAGGCUUGCAGCAAGGAAAUGAAGUAACUACUACUACUUGCGUACCUUGAACCAAACAGCUUCAGGGCCGCAAUUGGCCCCAAAUUUGUUUAAGGCUUCAGGGAUAACAAAGCCAGCAGCACCAAGCAUGGCCCAGCGGCCGUGAAUAAGCUCAUAUGCUUGAUAUCUGCAUUACAAGAAUCCCAAAAUGGCCCCCGAAUGAAUAGUGUUCGUUAAAGUAGUAGUUUGACAAUAUGGUAUCCUCCUGAGUCAACAUGUACACCCGCAAAAAGGAAAUUCCAAAGUGAUGGAUGUGCGUACGAGUGCAAGCACAUACUUGAGAGUGCUAUCGAGGGUUACUUUACUUACUUGGCAAAGUUUUCUGGCUUCUUGCUGAGGCCAAAAGGAUCAUAUCCGUAACUGCAUAUUGACCAAAUCAGAUAUUGUCAGAACCGUGACUGCCGUUGCAAAUUCUCAGAAAAGGGGACAUGUAUAGACACAGAUUCAGGGUUAGUAAAAUGCGAGGCAGCAUACGCAAAAAACAACUCACUCUCCAGGAACUUCUCCUGUCAAGUACUCGGGGAUUUCUGAUCUGUCUAAGAGCCCCUCGGGCAGGAAAAUUCUUCUGUCAGGUCCUGAAAUAUUUGAGCAUCAAAGGAAGUGUUAAUUCAGGCAACCGUGCGUGCAUUAGUAUUUACAAGCAAAAGAUUGACACUUUGAUGGUGCAAAUUACUAGUUGCUAGCGAGUUAUGGAUUCCAAUUUCCAUGAUUUAUGAUCAGAUCAGUGAAUAUAACCAACUAACUGAAGGAGGGAACUAAUAAAGUGAAUUUGACAACUCACCAUACCACUUGGCGAGCUCGUCGUCCAAUGAAGAGUCGGCCGCAGGCUUGGGCUUUGCAGCAGCUUUCUUCUUCGAGAAAAGGGCAACAGUCUUGAAACUGGCGGUGUUAGAAGGAGAAGGAGCGCACCUUGAAGAGCUGGUGAAGUUCAGAGGGUUUCCGAGCAUUUCAGAGACGCCCAGAGAGGCAGCAGCAGUGGAGGCUGCAAGAGAAGCCAUUUGACCGUGCCCUGAGAUUUGAUACCCCGUCCAGAUACUGAUAUGAUGACGAGAAAUGGGGACUAUGGGAGGGAGAAGUUGAUGCACGGAUACUCCCAACUAAAAGCUUAUUCUGGUGGAUGUGGGCUUGCCAACUGGGAUUGCCGUUGCUUGUGAUCUCUGAUUGGUCUGCGUGAGAAGGGAAAGAUGCUGCAAUCUGAUACAACAUUUGGAUAGGCUGAACUUGGCCACGUGGCUGAUCAUGCUGCUGAUGUGGAGCAGUCAUGCUCAACCGCAUUGAGGAUGCCUUACCUUGGAUAACGUCCGUUAUCCAAUUACCAUCCCUUCAUUUUAUUUUAUUUCACUCCUUUUCCUUUUCUUUUCCAAUACUAGUUUCUGUUUUAAUUGGCUCUCUCCAUUCCAUUCUGCUGUUGAAGAGUUACCUUUGCAUAGAUUGGACCAAAAAAGAAGGUUGAUAAAAAUGUUGCAAACACAGUAACUAUCGUUAAUCUAAAAUUUUUAAAGUUACAAGCCAAAUCGUGAUUCUAUCUCAUUAUCCUUAUUUAUUAAGUGAAAAUUACGAAUCUUUUAAAUCCCAAGUGAACAACGACUAAAAAAAUUCAUAGAUUGUCUUGUAAUUUUCAUAAUAAUUACAAUGUAUAGAGUUUUAUAUAUGUAUUGUAACUUUUAAAAUUACAAUGGUUGUGAUGCUACUAGGUGUUUGUUUAGUCCGGUUACAGUCAAACUCUACCACUUAAUCAUCAGAAAAUGGUGUUGCUUCUCGUUACUUUCCAGAAUUCAAUUUCCAAUUUGUCCGCCAGAGCUAGAGUGCACUCCAGCGCCUAUAUUUCUCAAAAUUUUCUUCGCAGCACUAAAACUUAGCAAUCGCAUGGGCUUGUUAGAGUAUUAUUUGCUAAGAUCUACUCUGGGUAAACUGAAGCACCAGGAACAACUGAGUUUUAGUUCAGUGGCAACCAAAAAGGAAUUAAGGCCUCUUUGACUAUAGAUCAAGGGUUCAAACUCCACUUCAAAUGAGGUGUCAAAACACCCAUUUGAUUUAAUCGGAUCUGUAUAGGUUAUAAAAAUGUUAUCGUAACCAACAAAAAAAAAAAAAAAACACACACACACACACACUAACUACAUUUUCUGUUGUAACAACCAUACCAUAUUCAAAGCAGAAACACAGAAGGAAAAACUGAACCUGCAGAACCCUUGAAAGAAAGAAUCUCAAUUCAAGUCUCACUAGGACAUUGCAGUAGCAUGUCAAGCUACUGAUUCAAUAUUUACAAGAAAGCUACUUCAAUAUAAUAAUAAUCACUACAAUUAUUAUAUUAACAUAGAAAGGUUGCUCCCAAUCUCUCACUUGAGGCUUUCUUUAUUGCACUAUGAGGCUUUCAGCAUAAUUGUUGAGGUCAAAGACUGUAUAGAGACUCUUUUUGCAACCUAUUCCCUUGUAUACCUAUUCUUCCAUUUUUGAGUUUCACAUGCUACCAGCAAAUGAUUUACAACCCAAUCUCCUCCACACGUUCAGAUCAUUCACAAAAGAGCAAAGUCUAAAACCAAGAACCAAGAGCAGCGAGUUUGUGCAAACUUAUUGUCGUCUCCAUUUAUCCACCUCUGUGGAAGUAGCUUUGACUAGCUUUU